ACCAGAAUGGCCGAGUGGUUAAGACUUUGGACUUAAGAUCCAAUGCGUGGGUUCAAAUCCCACUUCUGGUA